CAGCAGCCGCGGUAAUACGUAGGGUGCGAGCGUUAAUCGGAAUUACUGGGCGUAAAGCGUGCGCAGGCGGUUGUGUAAGACAGGUGUGAAAUCCCCGGGCUUAACCUGGGAACUGCGCUUGUGACUGCACAGCUAGAGUAUGGCAGAGGGGGGUGGAAUUCCACGUGUAGCAGUGAAAUGCGUAGAGAUGUGGAGGAACGCCGAUGGCGAAGGCAGCCCCCUGGGCCAAUACUGACGCUCAUGCACGAAAGCGUGGGGAGCAAACAGGAUUAGAGACCCCAGUAGUCCCUGUCUCUUAUAC
rnacentral:rRNA from 1 species